GUGAGGAAUAUUGCGCAAUGGAGGCAACUCUGACGCAGCCAUGCCGCGUGCAGGAAGAAGGCGCUACGCGUUGUAAACUGCUUUUAACCGGGAAGAAACCCCAGGACGUGUCCUGGGUUGACGGUACCGGAGGAAUAAGCACCGGCUAACUUCGUGCCAGCAGCCGCGGUAAUACGAAGGGUGCAAGCGUUAUCCGGAUUCAUUGGGUUUAAAGGGUGCGUAGGCGGAGCGUUAAGUCAGUGGUGAAAUCCUGCAGCUCAACUGUAGACUUGCCAUUGAUACUGGCGCUCUUGAGUGCGCUUGAAGUGGGCGGAAUGUGCCGUGUAGCGGUGAAAUGCUUAGAUAUGGCACAGAACACCAAUUGCGAAGGCAGCUCACUAAGGCGAUACUGACGCUGAGGCACGAAAGCGUGGGGAUCGAACAGGAUUAGAAACCCCGGUAGUCC
rnacentral:rRNA from 1 species